GGGGGGGGUUUAGUGGUUAGCACGUUUGCCUCGCAACUCAAUGGUCGGGGGUUUGAUUCCCACCUCCGCCC